rnacentral:rRNA from 1 species
UGCAUAUCAAAUAAGCGGAGGAAUAGAAACUAACAAGGAGUCCCCUAGUAACGGCGAGUGAAGCGGGAAGAGCUCAAAUUUGAAAUCUGGUAGCCUUCGGUUGCCCGAGUUGUAAUCUAGAGAAGUGUUUUCCGUGCCGGCCCAUGUACAAGUCCCUUGGAACAGGGCGUCAUAGAGGGUGAGAAUCCCGUCCUUGACAUGGACCCCCGGUGCUUUGUGAUACACUUUCAACGAGUCGAGUUGUUUGGGAAUGCAGCUCAAAAUGGGUGGUGAAUUCCAUCUAAAGCUAAAUAUUGGCGAGAGACCGAUAGCGAACAAGUACCGUGAGGGAAAGAUGAAAAGCACUUUGGAAAGAGAGUUAAACAGUACGUGAAAUUGUUGAAAGGGAAACGAUUGAAGUCAGUCAUGCUCUUAGGAUUCAGCCGUUCUGCGGUGUAUUUCCUUUGAGUGGGGUCAACAUCAGUUUUGAUCGAUGGAUAAAGGCACGAGGAAGGUAGCACUCUCGGGUGAACUUAUAGCCUCGCGUCAUAUACAUUGAUUGGGACUGAGGAACGCA